UGCAAGUCGAGCGGAGUUAAAAAGCGGAAGUUUUCGGAUGGAAGCUUUUUGACUUAGCGGCGGACGGGUGAGUAACGCGUGGGUAACCUGCCUUACACUGGGGGAUAACAGUUAGAAAUGGCUGCUAAUACCGCAUAAGCGCACGAAGCGACAUCGCUUUGUGUGAGAAACUCCGGUGGUGUAAGAUGGACCCGCGUCUGAUUAGCUAGUUGGUGAGGUAACGGCCCACCAAGGCGACGAUCAGUAGCCGACCUGAGAGGGUGACCGGCCACAUUGGGACUGAGACACGGCCCAAACUCCUACGGGAGGCAGCAGUGGGGAAUAUUGCACAAUGGGCGAAAGCCUGAUGCAGCGACGCCGCGUGAGUGAAGAAGUGUUUCGGCAUGUAAAGCUCUAUCAGCAGGGAAGAAAAUGACGGUACCUGACUAAGAAGCCCCGGCUAACUACGUGCCAGCAGCCGCGGUAAUACGCAGGGGGCAAGCGUUAUCCGGAUUUACUGGGUGUAAAGGGAGCGUAGACGGUUCUGCAAGUCUGAAGUGAAAGCCCGGGGCUCAACCCCGGGACUGCUUUGGAAACUGUGGGACUAGAGUGUCGGAGAGGUAAGUGGAAUUCCUAGUGUAGCGGUGAAAUGCGUAGAUAUUAGGAGGAACACCAGUGGCGAAGGCGGCUUACUGGACGAUAACUGACGUUGAGGCUCGAAAGCGUGGGGAGCAAACAGGAUUAGAUA
rnacentral:rRNA from 1 species